GCAAGUCGAACGAGGUCCUUCGGGGCCUAGUGGCGCACGGGUGCGUAACGCGUGGGAAUCUGCCUUUCGGUACGGAAUAACUCAGGGAAACUUGUGCUAAUACCGUAUGACGUCGCGAGACCAAAGAUUUAUCGCCGAAAGAUGAGCCCGCGUAGGAUUAGCUAGUUGGUGGGGUAAAGGCCUACCAAGGCGACGAUCCUUAGCUGGUCUGAGAGGAUGAUCAGCCACACUGGGACUGAGACACGGCCCAGACCCCUACGGGAGGCAGCAGUGGGGAAUAUUGGACAAUGGGCGAAAGCCUGAUCCAGCAAUGCCGCGUGAGUGAUGAAGGCCUUAGGGUUGUAAAGCUCUUUUACCCGGGAUGAUAAUGACAGUACCGGGAGAAUAAGCCCCGGCUAACUCCGUGCCAGCAGCCGCGGUAAUACGGAGGGGGCUAGCGUUGUUCGGAAUUACUGGGCGUAAAGCGUACGUAGGCGGUGACUCAAGUCAGAGGUGAAAGCCCGGGGCUCAACUCCGGAAUUGCCUUUGAAACUAGGUCGCUUGAACGUCGGAGAGGUGAGUGGAAUUCCGAGUGUAGAGGUGAAAUUCGUAGAUAUUCGGAAGAACACCAGUGGCGAAGGCGGCUCACUGGACGACUGUUGACGCUGAGGUACGAAAGCGUGGGGAGCAAACAGGAUUAGAUACCCUGGUAGUCCACGCCGUAAACGAUGAUAACUAGCUGUCCGGGCACUUG
rnacentral:rRNA from 1 species